AGUGAACGCUGGCGGCAGGCCUAACACAUGCAAGUCGAACGGCAGCACAGUAAGAGCUUGCUCUUACGGGUGGCGAGUGGCGGACGGGUGAGGAAUACAUCGGAAUCUACUUUUUCGUGGGGGAUAACGUAGGGAAACUUACGCUAAUACAGCAUACGACCUACGGGUGAAAGCAGGGGAUCUUCGGACCUUGCGCGAUUGAAUGAGCCGAUGUCGGAUUAGCUAGUUGGCGGGGUAAAGGCCCACCAAGGCGACGAUCCGUAGCUGGUCUGAGAGGAUGAUCAGCCACACUGGAACUGAGACACGGUCCAGACUCCUACGGGAGGCCGCAGUGGGGAAUAUUGGACAAUGGGCGCAAGCCUGAUCCAGCCAUACCGCGUGGGUGAAGAAGGCCUUCGGGUUGUGAAGCCCUUUUGUUGGGAAAGAAAAGCAUCAGGUUAAUACCCCGCUGUUCUGACGGUACCCAAAGAAUAAGCACCGGCUAACUUCGUG
rnacentral:rRNA from 1 species